rnacentral:tmRNA from 1 species
GGGGGCGAACUGGGUUCGACCGGAUAGCAGAAGCGUGCAGUUGCGUGCCGUGGUUGAUCGGUGGCCCACGUAAAAAGCCGAUUAAAACCUUCAAUUGCCGAAGGUAACUACGCUUUGGCUGCCUAGAAAUAGGCUGCCCGAGUCCCAGUUGGUCGCCGGAAUCGGCUGACGACUCGUAUUACCCCCUCCGGACCGCCGCGGGUCACUGCUGAGCACGCCCGCGGUUAAACAAAGUUCUCGGCUAGCGUUUGGGGAGCCCUGUCGGCGAGGCGCCCCUAGCGCGAAAUCAAACCCGCCGACUAUGCACGUAGACGCUCACGUGGAACUAUUGCGGGACGCGGGUUCGAUUCCCGCCGCCUCCAC